rnacentral:rRNA from 1 species
UACGGAGGGAGCUAGCGUUGUUCGGAAUUACUGGGCGUAAAGCGCGCGUAGGCGGCUUUGUAAGUUAGAGGUGAAAGCCCGGGGCUCAACCCCGGAACUGCCUUCGAUACUGCGGGUCUCGAGUCCGGGAGAGGUGAGUGGAAUUCCUAGUGUAGAGGUGAAAUUCGUAGAUAUUCGCAAGAACACCAGUGGCGAAGGCGGCUCACUGGCCCAUAACUGACGCUGAGGCACGAAAGCGUGGGGAGCAAACAGG